GUGGCGCAACAAUCCCAGGUACAUUUGGUUCACUUUCCUCCGCCCCGGCCCUACCCCCAAGCGCUAUCCUGGGUCUGAAUGUGGGCCUGUGUUCUGGCCCACCAUCCUCAGGCCUGUACAGGGGACCGAAAGAGAAUGGGCCACAGGAAUGCACCCAGAACAGAGCCAAAUUGUUCAAGCUGCGUGAAGAAGAAAGAAAAAACGGGAGGAGGGUGCACGGGGAGGGAGAAGAAGAAAAGCUUUCCUUGUCGGUUCAAUUUCUCCGGAGAUAUUUGGAGGAUAACAUCGUAAUUUUUCAGGAGGGGCUGCAGGGGGAGCAGAAAACGAGAGAGCCGAGUUUUAUCGGCACAGUGGCCCAUACAGAAAGGUGACAUUUGAGAGAACAAUUGCUAGGUUGUUUGGCCACAUUUGCUUCUAUGAAUGAGGCUUAAGAAAAGGUGUCUUUGGAUUGCUACUAAUAGUCAUCUUCAUCAUUCCUGCUCUCUCUCUCUCUCUCUCUCUCUCUCUCUCUCUCUUUCUCAGUUCCCUUAUGAAAUAAGGGCACACAGGUAAUAAACAAAGCACUAUAAAAGAUCAGAUUGAGGUAUUCUGUGGGCUCAUUCAAUGUCUGGAGCAAGCUUUCUGCACUCCACUGCCGGUGCUUUCUGGCUUCAAAAGCAGCUUCGAGACUGAGGAAUAGUAGACAGGAUUAGAAUAAGGCCCGGGAGUUCUACAACUCUGCUGAAUUCAAAAGGACCAUGAUCUUGGUCAGCUAAACCACACCCGAUGGCCAAGGGGCAGAGGAAAAGAUGGCAGAGUAGAGACUCUUGGACUUACUCAUUUGGAUUUUGGAGUUUUACCUGACUUGGUCAAGCCUCAUGCCAGAUCCAGAUUGUGCCUGCUUCCCUUUCACCUUCCAUCAUGAUUGUAAGUUUCCUGAGGCCUCCCCAGCCAGGAUUCCUGUACAGCCUGUGGAACCAUGAGCCAGGUAAAAAUGGUGCUACCCUUGGAAAUCCAAGAGCAGCUUCAAGAGUCAACUAUACCAGCAAUCCCUAAAGCUGGAGAAUUUAUGCCCAUGGAAAAGUCUGUAGCGUUUUGCAAACUGUGAGGCUGAGGAAUAGACCUAGUUCCUGCAGCAGAUCAAAAUGAAAGAUGCAGAAAUGCAGCAACUAUUGCAGGGAUUCCGUGAGACCAAGGACCUGUCUCCAUAGCAGGGCUGAGGAGGAAGAGGAAGAGGAGGGGUUGGUCUUGCUGUCUCAAGAGUAGCAGAAGCAGAAGAAAAUCCAAGUUGGUCAAAGGAAGAGGAGGAUCAAUGGCCUUUUUUCCUCCCCCCAACCUUUUUUUUUUUUUUUUUUUUUAAACAAAGAAGCAAAGUGAGAACAUUAAGCCCGAAAGAGAACUGUGUUCAUUGCAGGACUUUUUGAGGUCUGGUUAAGCCAUUUAUAUAAAGAAAUUACACAGUUCCUCUUUGGUAACCUCAAUCCUGAAAGUUAGUGUGACAGGCCUACAGCUUUUUGUUCUCUUCAUCACUCCAGAAGUUGCAGACUGCGCUCAGCAAGACCUCACAACAUGGAGGAAAAUUAAAGAGAUAAGUGGUCCAUGGAGUAUCCCCUUACCCCACCAUAAAUUGGCAUAAUUUUGUGCACAAUCCAGGGAGAAGAAAAAGAAGACCAGAAGCUUGCAAACCAUUCGAGAGAAGGAAGGGAGCUUUGUCAUGUUGCCAUCUGAGAUUAUGCCUCCAAAUCCUACAGAAGUAUAACAACCAUAGAACAGACAAACACCAACAGCAUCAACAACAGAGAAACUCAGUCCAGGAGGAUAUGAAACCCUUUGUAAUAAAGAAAGCAACAUCCAUGAACAUUUGUGUACAUGUGUCUUUAUGGUAGAAUGAUUUCUAUUCCUUUGAGUAUAUACCCA
rnacentral:lncRNA from 1 species